rnacentral:lncRNA from 1 species
GAAGUUUACUAUUUUAAUCUAAAAAAUAGAAAAAGCGUCCAGUUAUACAGUUCUAUGGCAGAAUUUCACAGUAUGAUAUGGUACAUAUCAACUUAAAUAACAACAGAAAGAAAUUAGAUCAAAUUUUGUAACUUCGACUCUUCAUGUAUUCAUGCUUCGUGUGGUGCUUACAAAAUGAGCAAAGUUGUAGCUAAGUACCUGGUGUAGGAAGCAAAAGAAGAGGAAUAUCAGUUGAACAGCAAUAGCGUAAGCAACAACAACACAUCAACAAACAACACCAAUGAACACACGGAAAAGCCUAGUAACAAACAGUACCAAAAUACCCAAGGACAGAAUGAAAACCAAGCAGAGAACCCAAUAGCCAAUGAAACAGUACAAAUAGUCCAAAAGGAAACCCAGAAAAAAUUAAUUGCAACCUAACAAUACCAAAAGCAAUUCACAGACAGAUGCAAGAAAACAAUUGUUUUCUGAUUUUUUUUAAAACCCUCAAAGAAAAACAGCCUGAAGUUUUAAUGAAACAGUGGCAAGCUAGUACUGAUUUUGACCACUAAAAAGAACCUCACUAUAGUUUUUGAACUCUCAAACUACUCACUCUUUCAAAUUGAAAAUUAGCCUAUUUCAACUCUAAACUCACUGAAUUCUUCGGAUUAGAAAGCUAAUAGUUAUAAACUCAACCCUUAUUCUCCCCCCUUCUUCUUAACAGAUUUUUUUCUGAUUCUCCUUUACAGUCUUUU